GUCCCGUUGGUCCUAACGUCUCCGGCCACCCCCCUGGACUGGAGCUGAGACUGGGAACUGUACCACCCUUGCCCCCUCCUUCUGCAACUGCAAACAACCCCACUCUCCUGCUCA